GUGAAUCAUCAAAUCUUUGAACGCAAAUUGCACUCUCUGGUAUUCCGGAGAGUAUGCCUGUUUGAGGGUCAGUUUAAAUAAAAAUCGGUGUGGUUGCUGCCUUUCGUGGUGACGCACCGGAUUUGGGUCGUCUUGCUUUCGGUUAAGUGACCUAAAAUUUUGCAUGCUUUUUUUCGAAUGUAUUUAAACGAUACUACGUACGUUUGCGAUAUCGUCUACUAGGUGUGGUCCUCCUCAUCAUUCGCGACUAUAAUU
rnacentral:misc_RNA from 1 species